UUUAAUCAAUUUCUGAAUAUUUAGUUAAUAUGUGUUUUGCUAUUGCAAUGGUGAUUCAGUCCUCACUACUCAGGGAAGUAAAUGCUUUGUUAUAAUUAAACCAAAUAAUACUAGUAUUGAUGGCUUAUUGCUCUCUUUCAUAGUGGUUAUUUACAAUUCUGUAUAAUUUUUUCAAAUCAAAGUAGUAGGGUAAAUUCAUGCAUGAGUAUAUGAACUAUGAAAUACGAAUCCACACACGUGGUAUUAAUCUCUUUUGAUUUGAAUUACAUGUUUAGUUGUGUAAGAAAGAUUUUUGAUUCUAUGGUUUUAAUCCUAAGAUUAAGCUCAAGAAUCUGAAAUAGAUGUGAAGGUGUUGAUUUUGUGCUAAAACUGCUUUGUGACCAUGAUAGCUACUCAUUUUGGUAAUUACUCUAUUACAUGGAGAAAUCUGAUAUAUGAUUAUUAUUUUGUUGUUACAAUAAAUAAAUUUAUUGGUAGCUUUUGCAGACUCUUGGACCAUGUUAUUGUUUGAUCGAAUUGGACCAAGUUAGGUUUUUAUCUUUUACUUUUGGGAAGAAAUCGAUGACAGAGAGUACUGUUAGGAAGUAUGCUUGCAAUUUAUUUGGAAUUCCAAAAGGGAAGAAAAGUUGAUCUGAAAAAGUAUUUGGGGUCAAGGAAAUUCGGAUUUAGUUUGUGUUGAGAGAAUCGAUUGUUGGCAAUGGAAC
rnacentral:lncRNA from 1 species